rnacentral:lncRNA from 1 species
GUGUGUGGAGUAAAGAAAAGAAAGAGAAAAGGCACAAGUUGUGCGUGGUGUCACAAAUACUCUGUGUGUUGUGUUCUUCUUCUUCCUUGUACUCUUCACGUGUAAGUGUGAUUUGUGUCCACUGUGUUCACAUGAGUUGCUUUGAUUCCCAACAGAUUCAUGCCUUCUGCAUUAUGGUUGUUUGAUCUAUAUAUUGAAGUGUAUCCAUAUAUUCAUGCAUGAUUCAGUGAGUAGAUUAGAUACAUCGUACCUAAAAUAAUACACAUCACGAGUUGUUGUCUGGUCGUUUCAUUGGUGCUAUAUAUGUGUGAUCAUCUGACUAUUCUGGUGCGUGCAUGCAGGGUUGUUCUAAGCUUCUGAAAACAAUAGAAGAACUAUGAUCUUGCGUGUCAUUGCUACAAUUUUGAUUGUCCACUGAACUAGAUUAUGCCUGAUUCAUACGAUCAACAUUUGUCAUUUCACCCUAAUAUACACCAUGAAAUCCCCAUCUAGAUUUUCUAUGAGUUUUCAUGAUUUUUUUGUUUUUUCAACCUGUAAGCAUCGCCUAUCCUAUGCAAUGCUCAUAGCCUCAUAAUAUUUGUUCAAUCCACUAAUCCUGCCUACUCAUAGUGUAGAGCAAAAUUUCAUCUUGUAGGAGCAUAUUUUAACCCAAACAAUGACACAUGCAGGUGCAUCAGAAGAUGAAGUGCACUCAUACAGGUGAUCUGAAAAAAUAUUGUCACCAAUGCUGAACUAAAUGAAUAACUAAUAAUGCAUUUCAGAUGGUGAUUUCUAAAUCAAUCCUUUUCAGGCACUACUAAUAAUCCCGGCGACCUGCUCCAUCCCAAACUCCCGAUGCUAGCUUCAUGUUUUCUUGGCGUAGUGCUAUGCGUUAUUUUUCAUGUUAAUUCUAUGGUGGUUCGUGUGUUCUCGUUGUGUUGCCGACAGUGCUAUGUAUGUACUUGUAUAUAUGCUGCCUUGCUGUCUCCUCUAGAAUGUGAGAAUGGUGACGGUUUGGAUUGCCACGGCAGCCGUCAACAAGACAGGCGGUGCUAUAGCUUGUUCCAUUUGUAUUAUUUUUUAAAACUUUUUGCAAUCAUAUAAUUCGAUGUAAUAAUAUAUUUUGUAAAUAAGUUACUGAUCGUUUUAUUCUUCUCAGUGCAAAAGU